UUCCCCCUGCGGUGUGCGUGAUUAACGGUAGGUCCGUUGAGCCAACAUUACCUGGCAUGGGAGACCUCCCUUCGUCCUGAGUGCAGACUUCCCGACUUUGGUCGGAGAAGGAGCCGGAGGGGCGAACAGGUCACCCACUUAAAAAUGUCAGGUUCAAACGGCCAGUUAACACGGCACUGCGGGGGGAUG
rnacentral:other from 2 species